UUUAAUAUGGCAGAUAAGUGCAAUGGAAUUAAGACCCAUAAAUUUAGUUAAUUAUAACUUUUAUUAAAA
rnacentral:tRNA from 2 species